UACAGAGGGUGCAAGCGUUAAUCGGAAUUACUGGGCGUAAAGCGUGUGUAGGUGGUUUGCUAAGUCAGGUGUGAAAUCCCUGGGCUCAACCUAGGAAUUGCAUUUGAUACUGGCGAGCUAGAGUGUGGAAGAGGAUAGUGGAAUUCCCGGUGUAGCGGUGAAAUGCGCAGAUAUCAGGAAGAACGCCCGUGGCGAAGGCGGCUCUCUGGGACGGUACUGACGCUGAGACGCGAAAGCGUGGGGAGCGAACAGG
rnacentral:rRNA from 1 species